rnacentral:rRNA from 1 species
CCCUUAGAUGUUCUGGGCCGCACGCGCGCUACACUGAUAAUGUCAACAAGCUUUACCUUGGCCGAUAGGUCUGGGCAAUCUUCGAACUAUUAUCGUGAUGGGGCUAGAUUAUUGCAACUAUUAAUCUUAAACGAGGAAUUCCUAGUAAGCGCGAGUCAUCAGCUCGCGUUGAUUACGUCCCUGCCCUUUGUACACACCGCCCGUCGCUCCUACCGAUUGGAUUGGCUGGUGAAGCGUUCGGAUUGUGGGUUCGGAGCGGUUCGCCGUUCUGGGCUUGCGAGAAGUUCGUUAAACCCUCCUAUCUAGAGGAAGGAGAAGUCGUAACA